rnacentral:rRNA from 1 species
CACGUAGGGCGCGAGCGUUGUCCGGAAUUAUUGGGCGUAAAGAGCUCGUAGGCGGCCUGUUGCGUCCGCUGUGAAAGCCCGGGGCUUAACCCCGGGUCGCAGUGGAUACGGGCAGGCUAGAGGUAGGUAGGGGAGAAUGGAAUUCCCGGUGUAGCAGUGAAAUGCGUAGAUAUGCGGAGGAACACCGAUGGCGAAGGCAAUCCCCUGGACCUGUACUGACGCUCAUGCACGAAAGCGUGGGGAGCAAACAGG